AAUUAGGUUGGUAAAAGUUUAUGGGUAAUUUAAGAGUAAUUUUAUUUUAAAAUAAAUAAAAUUAUAAAAGAAAAUGUAUAUUUUGUUGGAAAGGGAGAAAAAUUGAAGAUGAUGGAAUGAGUUAUUAAAAGAGGAGACAUGAGAGGUUGUUUGUUAUGAUGGGAAAAGAAACGAGAAAGAAUUAAUUAAUAGGUAUAAUAAUAGUAAUAGUUAAUAAUAAUAUUAUUAUUAUUAAAUAGAGCAUUAUUGGGAAGCAUGAACUUACUAUUCACCAUCUUCUCUACUCUUCCUCUUUCCUUCACAAUUAAAGCCCUGGCCGCCGCCCUUUCACUGUGCACCUCCGGCCGCAGUAAAUCCCACGACUAACGCAGCCACUGCACGACGACGAUCGCCCAGACGAAGCCUUCUCCGCCUCGAUCUCCAUCCACAGCCGUAGCCGCACCGUUCUACCAUCGCGAACCCGUGCCGUCCAGUUUCCUCCAGUCGUCUGCGCCACGUUCUUCACCGUCACUAGUUUUCGGUCGCCUCCACUCAUCAGAUCCGAACGUCUCUCUUCGCACACAGCCGAGCCGCGCGCGGAUCACCAACUUCAGUCUGUCGUGUGAGUCCUCCGUCCGAGCCACUUUCUCGAGAAGCCGAGCCAUUUUUCCCUUCACCGAGCCAGCUUCGCGUAAGCCGUACGCGAGCCGCGCGCAACCGAGCCACUUCUGUGUGAGCCGUACGCAAGCCAGUUCCGUGUAAGCCGUACGCGAGCUAUGUGCACCGAGUCGUUCCUGUGUAAGUCGUAUGUGAGCCGUGAGUCUCAAGACCCGAGCCGAAGCCCUUGCUAACCGAGCCACCUUUAGUUUAGCCGUCUGCAACAUAUUUGAGCCCUUGGUGAGUUUUGCUUAGUUCUCGUUGGGUUUGGUACACCAAAUAAUUAUUGUUUUUGGUAUUAAAUGAGUUAAAACUGGAAUGAGUUAGAAUUGUGUUGUUGGAAAGUUAAGGUGUGGUUGAGGAAUUGAGUUGUGCAAAUUUCUAUUCAAGGUUGUAUUGGGAUCAACUUUAAAUCUUGGGGGUAAGUUUGGAUGAGUUGGUUGCCUAAUUAAAUAAGUGAUAGUUGGCAAAAUUAUUAAGUUUAAUUUUGUUCAUGUUUAGGACUGAGUUUAUUGUGAGAAUUUUAGAUUUCCCCUACUAAACUCUACUUGGAAGGUGCAUGUAUGUUAUGUAUUGUUUAGUGGUUGAAGUAAGAGAUGUAUGCAUGUAUGUUAUGUAUUGUUUAGUGGUUGAAGUAAGAGAUGUAUGCAUGUAUGUUAUGUAUUGUUUAGUGGUUGAAGUAAGAGAUGUAUAAUAUGUCUAUUUGAGAUGACCGUAUAAAUGGUUACAUCGGGACCAUAUUAUGAUUUAGAUACAUUAUUGAUUUAGAUACAGUAUUAUUUGAGGCAUGCUAUGAUCAAAUAUGUUACUUUUGAGUUAUGUCUACAUGAACUAAGAUGUUGAUGUUAUGAUAAGCAUGUAUAGGCUAUAGUGUUCGGUUAAUUUUACUAUUGUAUGGGGUCCAUCGGGGUCACCAUCUAUGUAUGCAUGUGUGGCUAGUUUGAGAUGUGAUUUGAUGAUUCCUUCGGGUUCACCGAGAGCCCAGAUGUGUCCCUACGCUAGAUAGUAUGUUACAUUACAGGACUCAAACGAAAGGUUAACAAACGAAAGGUUAACAAACGAAAGGUUAACAAACGAAAGGUUAACAAACGAAAGGUUAAUAGACACAUAGUGAGACUAAUAUGAAUCUCUUAUUGAGUAUAAAUUUAUACUCAAUCUUUUAAAAGUGACCAUGGAUCGUCAUAAGGAAGAGUUCAGUUUUCUUUCGCAUUUAUAUAUCGGUAGUUAUAUUUUCAUAGGUUUAUUUCAUAACUACGGUUCAAUUACUUUAAGUAUUUCUUCUAUUUUUGGGCCCAAACUAAUAUUUUGAUUAGUUAUUUUUAUUAUUUAAAGUUUUUCCUCAAAUUUUAAUUUAUUUUCUUGUAUAUAAAAAAAGUUGGGUUGUUACAUAAACGAUCAUGUAGAAGAUUGAACAAUCGUGUAGAUAUCUAAACGAUCGUGUUGAAAAUUAAAGAGGUUCUUGGGGUUAAUUAUCAUAUCAAGUGGAGUGGAUUCCAAGUGUCGUAACAUGCAAAGACUUAGAAUUUAGUUAAGAGGAGCUAGCAAAAUUAUAGGAGUUUAAAGAAUGAUUAAUCCAACUUAGGAUUAAUAUAAAUAAGGGAAGAAGACAAAAGGAAAGGAUUAUUAUUUUGAGAUUUUACAAAGAAAAAAGCUAGAGAUCGUUAAGUAAGAAGAAGACUGGAUAAGAGUUCUGAACAAAGAGGGGAACUUAGAAUUGUGAAUGAUUUUUCUAAAUGAAUAUAGUUUUCAAAAGCUUUGAUGUCUAAGUCUCAUGUUUCAUGUCUCAUGUCUCAUGUAAUGCAUGUUUAUGUUUACAUAAAAGCUUGAUUUGAAAGAAAGCUUUAAUGUUAUGUUUUAAAGUUGAAGAUUCACGUGUUAUUGAUUAUAUUGUAAGCUUUGUUUAGACUAAAUCAUUAGUUUUAUUCCUAUCAAUUAGUUAGUUGUUAUGUGCACAUAAUGAGUAAAUGUAACCAUGUAGAGAAGGCAUGCAUGGUGGAAUGAGGCGAGACUGCAUAAACAAUGUGUAUUGUGACAGGAAGCCGAGCAAUAAAGAAUGAACUGGGAAAUUAUCAAGGAGGUUUUUGAUGAAUAGGUCAUUACAAUAGUCCAUGCACGAGAAUGAUUCAUGUCUUUGUGAAAGGAA
rnacentral:lncRNA from 1 species